rnacentral:rRNA from 1 species
CCUACGGGAGGCAGCAGUGGGGAAUUUUGGACAAUGGGCGCAAGCCUGAUCCAGCAAUGCCGCGUGAGUGAAGAAGGCCUUCGGGUUGUAAAGCUCUUUUGUCAGGGAAGAAACGGCUGAGGUUAAUACCUUUGGCUAAUGACGGUACCUGAAGAAUAAGCACCGGCUAACUACGUGCCAGCAGCCGCGGUAAUACGUAGGGUGCAAGCGUUAAUCGGAAUUACUGGGCGUAAAGCGUGCGCAGGCGGUUUUGUAAGUCUGUCGUGAAAGCCCCGGGCUCAACCUGGGAAUUGCGAUGGAGACUGCAAGGCUUGAAUCUGGCAGAGGGGGGGUAGAAUUCCACGUGUAGCAGUGAAAUGCGUAGAGAUGUGGAGGAACACCGAUGGCGAAGGCAGCCCCCUGGGUCAAGAUUGACGCUCAUGCACGAAAGCGUGGGGAGCAAACAGGAUUAGAUACCCUGGUAGUCCACGCCCUAAACGAUGUCUACUAGUUGUCGGGUUUUAAUUAACUUGGUAACGCAGCUAACGCGUGAAGUAGACCGCCUGGGGAGUACGGUCGCAAGAUUAAAACUUCAAAUGAAAUUGACGG